GGUAGACCAACCUCAAGCAGGUCCACUCAUUCUGUUCCAGAAUCGGACUCAAUAGGACGCCCGUGGUAUCCGCGCUCGUCUCUGAGUCGCCGUCGUCAUUCAGAGCGGCAUCCACGGCGAUGAAAUGGCCUGCGACGGAGGAGAAAAGAAGAGCUGACCCGUUGAAAACGCCGAAAUGUGCUCUUGCACACAGUCCAGAUGUCUUAGGAUGUUGGAGUCAAUCGAGACCAGAUGUGCUUCCUCUCACCAACAUUAAAAGCGGGAGCCAUCGCCAUUGAAAAGGCAUGCAAUGAGUUGUAUUUAUUUAUUUUUGGGGGUGGGUGGGUGGGGGGGGGGUCAUUUGGAGUCAUCUUCCAAGAAUGAAAAAUCAGAGUGCAGAGGAAACGUAUAAAACAGCCCAAUUACCGUCGGUGUGGAGGAUCCAGCUGCUAAAGUCUGCAUCUGACAUGUAACCGCAGGUGUCGGCGUCAAAGUUGCAGGAGCCGGGCAACAACUGCUUGCGCGCUUGGACGGCG